ensembl:lncRNA
CACAUUUUAAAGUCCAACACCCAUGGGGACAGAAAGAGUGGUGCCAGCAGCAUUCCAGCAGCCCAAUGGGAUUCCAAAAGGAGAUUGCAGAAAGAGUAUCAUUCCCUCUGAUACAGUGUUGACGGUGGAUCUAAAUCUAGACCCUAUUGGAGAAACAAUCAGGGGCAUCUGAGCAAAUUUAAAUGACUAUUGUACUAGAGACCAUGCGUGCCCUCCCACAUCCGGUUCCCAUCUCCUUCCCAGCACCCAGGAAGACUGCAGCUCCCAGGUGCCUUGAAGCCAGGCAGAGCCAUAUGACCAGUUCCAGCCAAUGAAAUGUGAGCAGGAAUGAAAAGAGCCACUUUCUGGACAAGCUUGUAUGACACCUCCACACCUUCCUUUUCUCUUCUGAACAAACUUGGAAGCCACAUAUGAGGAUGACAGAGCUACAGGAUGGAAACGACCUGCAUCCCCGAGUCAUUGUUUAGAGGAGCUGUCUGACCCUCCAGAGUCGCCCAAUUCACAGUGGAUAUACUGUGAGUAAAAAAGAAAUAUUUCUUGCAUGAAAUAACUGAAAUUUCACGAUUUAUUUACUACUACAGAAAUGCAAAGCCUGUCCUUGCUAAUAUAUAGAAUAUACAGUGGGCAAAAGAUAGAGCUGGUUCUUGAAAUCUAUACUUGCCUGACUCCAAAGACCCAGCUCUUUCCAAUCUGCUGGACUGCCUCUAAUAAGCAAUGUAAAACCGCCGAUGAUCCGUGGUGACGGGGACCCUACCGGCCCUACAAACACGGAAUAGAAAAGAUAGCAUCUUUAACUCAGCCUCGUGAUUGUAGGGUAGGUGGGCUUUGAUUGGGGUCUUGAAAUGAAAGGUGAGGAAGGCAGGGAGCUAUCAAUAAACAGAAAAGGAAGCUGUAUAAAACCAGGCCUUCGAGGUGGUACGAGAAUGGCCCGUUUGAGGAGGAGAUACAUACGUUGGGAAACCGCAGAAUGCAAGAUGAGAGUGCAAGAGGAGCCGAUAUUUCCUUCAGAAUCUCAAUGCCAGACUGAGGAACUUGGCUUUAGGACAGCGGGAAAUGGUGGAGAAAGCACUGGACCAAGAGUCAAGAACACUGAAUUUUUCAUGCUCUUGUCAGUAGCUUCAUCUCUGUUGGCCAUAAGCACCUUCUUUUUAAAGUGUGGAGCAAAUCCCGAAUAAUCGCCAAGAUCCUUUCCAGUUCCACGUUUCUUCAAGUCUAAAUCUCACAGUUCCUUUGUGUGGAUUCAUUAGUGGGUCUCUUGAAGGAAUAUUAGAAGCAAUGACAUUUGAUAAUCAUCAGCUUUUUAAUGCAGUGGCUGAUAGUGAUCUAGAAUUAGAGAUGUUCCUGUACUUAGACCAGGACAUACAAAUAUUUUUACACUGAUUUUGCCACAAGGGGCAAUGUCAGAGAAAUGAUUCUGCUGCUGUAAGGAUAGAUGUCAACCCGUCUAUAGGCUAAACUGAAUAACUAUUUUUUUCCCAUUUCAAGUAGGUUCUGCCAUCAUCACCUUCUGUUGGGCAAAGUUUAUUGUCACCAAUUUCCAGGAACUCGAUCACCAGGUCCUCAGUCCUCCCUUAUUUCCAUCCCUCUCCAAAGCAUGCCCUCUUCCAAACUGCUCUGUUCAGAAGCAGUGAGAAAGGUAGCAUAUACGACUGCAUAUGAGCAUAGGCAUACAUUGACUGUCCUAUAAAUGCUAGCAAUCUGUUGAACACUAAAGAUUAUAUAAAUCUUAGCAGCUUUACUGAUGCUUCAUACACAAGCAGCUGUUGUUUCUUGGUUGCCUGAUUAAAUAUGCUGCAAAAUUUCUCCCAAGGAAAUCGCACCAAAGUUGAUUCCAGCAAAUCCUUCAUAACAUCUCUGCUAGCAACUUCAGUUUCUAAGCAAUUCAAAGAAAAGACCCAAUCAAUAGCAAUUCUUUCAAGGGGGCUGCUCUUUCUCCUCUCAAGACAAGGCAUUUAUAACACCAGACCAAGUGUUCUAGUCUUGACUCUGCCAUUAACCAGCAGUCACUCAACAUUUCUAAGAUGACAUUUUAACCAUUUCAGAGAGAAAUAGUGUAUGACUAUUUCAAAAAGACAUUAUGUGGAUUGAAAUGUCUUUUUGACAAUAUGUCCCCCUCUGUAUAUCUGUAUCUGUUUCUCUAUCAUAUAUAUGCAUAGAUGUAUAUAUAUGUGUGUGUGUAUAUAUAUAUCAAUAAGUUGAAAAGUUAUGAGCUACAAAUUAAGGGACAAAGUCAGAAAAAUAUCCCUAGUCAAGCCUAAAGCUAUCAAAUAUCAGUAUUACAUUCAUAAAAUUAACUGUCUGUAAAAUAUUCACUGAGGAAAUAAAUCAAAAGUCUACCUAAAAUAUGAUUUGCAAGAGUCUUGUUCCCAAGAGUGGGGGUCUGUCUAAGAAAGCGUCUGAGGAGCCUCCCUGACGCCCAGGGUUGGAGUCACCCUCACAUCUCAGUUGAGAUGUCACUUCCUCCAAGACUUACCCAACUCCCCUCAGUCCGGAUCACAUGCCUUUUCUUUAUGCUUCUGUGGUCCUCAGUAGUUACCAUUGUCAUGUUUGUUUGAUUUUCCAUUAAAUUUUAAGAAAUGAGCCUGUCUGUCUUGAUCAUUGUGUUCUUAGCAGUUAGCACAGGGC